GCUGAGGUGGAAAAAAAAAACCAAAAAUACAACUCAUAAGCGGAGCAAGCCAAAAUGGGUUAUUCUAAAUCAUUUACAGACCCGACUCUAAACCUAACCCCCAAACUCUCUCCAUUGAAGCCAGUGCGAAGUCGUCCUCUCCAAAUCUCUAGGCAAUCGUUCACCUUGCUUCCGACCGGGAAAACACCGGCAAUACUCAUCAUUAUCUCCGCCCAAUUUCUUGUUAAGAACACUACCCUCCAAUUGCGACGAUUUUCGAGACGACCAUCGAAGUGGCCCAUACACCUCCUCCGUUGGCAAUAGACGAUCGGUGGAAUACCUCAUUCGUAUUGGGUAAGUAAAAAGAAGGCAAAACAUGUGAUUCUCCUUUUUUUUGUGAAUUUGUUUUAUGGUUCUGAAAUUGAGAACGAAAAUGGGUGAAGAGUUGCACUUGCGCUAUGUUUCUUGGCAAUGCAAUUGUGACAAAGUGAGAUGACCAUUUAUUUUUUUUCAAAUUAAACAAGUAAAAAUUGUAAUACAAUAUUCUAUCAAAUAAUUCCUGCACAUGGGUAUUUUCUUAGAUCCCAUAAAUUUCAAUAAACCAUUGAUUAUUUAAUUUCCUUGAAAGAUACACAUGAUGUAUAUUUCCUUGUUGAUUAUUGGACUUAAUGGCUGUAAUUUUUCAUGUUUUCAAACUCCAUUGUAUGAGACGAGUCAAAAGCCUAUUGGCAUUAUGAAUCUGUCUAUGAUGAUUGAAUGAGUGGUUCCAUAUUGGGAUGAGAAAAUGAUAAAUUUGGAGUCUAAAUUUUAUCGCUUUACACAAGAUAUUAUAAAUCAUGUUUAGCUAAUUGAGAUGCCUGUCAAAUGUUUUGGCUGUGUCCCAGAAAAAUGCAUUAUAACUGUCUGUCAAAUGUUUUGGUAGCGAAAAUGGUUUUGUAUAUUGUAUUAUAAAUUAUGUGUUGUGAGAAUACUGUCAGUUGAACUCUAAUGUAGAAUUCUCCUAUAAUUUGAAUUAGACAUCGAAUUAGUUGCACCAUUCAUUGGUUAUUUAUUGUGGCUGAACCUGGUUGGCCGGAAAGAAUGGGGGAAUUUGUCAUUAUUGUAGAAUGUCGGGACAUAUGAUGUCAGAAUGCCCCAAAAAGAGAAUAUGCCCCAACUGCGGUGUAGGAUUCGUCAAAUGGAUGGAGGUCGAAAAUAACAAUGAAAAUAAAGGGCUAUUGUUUCAUUGUUAUACCCGCAAAUGCAAGUUCUACAAUGGUGUAAGAAUAAGCCCGAUAAAAAAUGUACAUUGCAUGACGAUGGGGACUCAAGUGGUACAAACGAAGCUAAGCAUGUGGAUGAUUUGUCACAUAUGUUGAAAUCCUGGCUAAGCUAACAGAUGAGAAGGACUUGGAGAUUUCCUUUAACAUAAAGAUGCGCAAGAGGACACGAGUUUCGGCAGAUGAAAAGGACUUGGAAUGUGAAACUUGAGUCGUUGUAUUAGUGUGUAGUACGGCAUGUUUUAUAUAGCGUAAUGUGGUGGCAAUUCCAUUCCAGUUUGUAGUAAUUUAGAGUAUGUGGCUAUGUUGUCUUCUCUCAAGUUUCGAACUUCAAACUAUAAAUGUGCCAAUGUAGUCUUAUUCCAGUUGCCUAUUAUAAGUGUUGUCUUCUCUCAAGUCUCGAACUUCAUUAUUAAUAGGAGACAUGCUAUUCUCCACAUGUGGCUUCAUCAGAUUCCAAAUAAC
rnacentral:lncRNA from 1 species